GGAGUGGAAACAAUAUCAAAUAGCGAGGAUGCUACAAAAUAUAUAAGGGGUUUUUUCUUUUUCUUUUCUUCUUAGGACAUGUUAGGUUAAAUUAUUUUUAAUUACUUUUAUUUUCUUUUUAUACAUAAUAAAUAUUAAUUUGCAAUUAUGAAUAAAUUACGUAAAUUUACAUAUCAAAUUUUUAAAUCUACAAAAAAAGAGAAGUGUGUUAAU
rnacentral:lncRNA from 1 species